rnacentral:rRNA from 1 species
UACGUAGGGGGCAAGCGUUAUCCGGAAUUAUUGGGCGUAAAGAGUGCGUAGGUAGUCACCUAAGCGUAAGGUCUAAUGGAGAGGCUCAACCUCUUCCCGCCUUGCGAACUGGGCUACUUGAGUGCAGGAGGGGAAAGCGGAAUUCCUGGUGUAGCGGUGAAAUGCGUAGAUAUCAGGAAGAACACCGGUGGCGAAGGCGGCUUUCUGGACUGUAACUGACACUGAGGCACGAAAGCGUGGGGAGCAAACA